GGUUAAGCGACUAAGCGUACACGGUGGAUGCCCUGGCAGUCAGAGGCGAUGAAGGACGUGCUAAUCUGCGAUAAGCGUCGGUAAGGUGAUAUGAACCGUUAUAACCGGCGAUUUCCGAAUGGGGAAACCCAGUGUGAUUCGUCACACUAUCAUUAACUGAAUCCAUAGGUUAAUGAGGCGAACCGGGGGAACUGAAACAUCUAAGUACCCCGAGGAAAAGAAAUCAACCGAGAUUCCCCCAGUAGCGGCGAGCGAACGGGGAGCAGCCCAGAGCCUGAAUCAGUGUGUGUGUUAGUGGAAGCGUCUGGAAAGGCGCGCGAUACAGGGUGACAGCCCCGUACACAAAAAUGCACAUGCUGUGAGCUCGAUGAGUAGGGCGGGACACGUGGUAUCCUGUCUGAAUAUGGGGGGACCAUCCUCCAAGGCUAAAUACUCCUGACUGACCGAUAGUGAACCAGUACCGUGAGGGAAAGGCGAAAAGAACCCCGGCGAGGGGAGUGAAAAAGAACCUGAAACCGUGUACGUACAAGCAGUGGGAGCCUCUUUUAUGGGGUGACUGCGUACCUUUUGUAUAAUGGGUCAGCGACUUAUAUUCUGUAGCAAGGUUAACCGAAUAGGGGAGCCGAAGGGAAACCGAGUCUUAACUGGGCGUUAAGUUGCAGGGUAUAGACCCGAAACCCGGUGAUCUAGCCAUGGGCAGGUUGAAGGUUGGGUAACACUAACUGGAGGACCGAACC
rnacentral:rRNA from 1 species